GAUGAAGAACGUAGUGAAAUGCGAUAAUUAAUGUGAAUUGCAGAAUUCAGUGAAUCAUCGAGUCUUUGAACGCACAUUGCGCCCCCUGGUAUUCCGGGGGGCAUGCCUGUCCGAGCGUCAUUGCUGCCCUCAAGCACGGCUUGUGUGUUGGGCUUCCGUCCCUGGCAACGGGGACGGGCCCAAAAGGCAGUGGCGGCACCAUGUCUGGUCCUCGAGCGUAUGGGGCUUUGUCACCCGCUCCCGUAGGUCCAGCUGGCAGCUAGCCUCGCAACCAAUCUUUUUAACCAGGUUGACCUCGGAUCAGGUAGGGAUACCCGCUGAACUUAAGCAUAUCAAUAAGCGUAGGA
rnacentral:misc_RNA from 1 species